rnacentral:rRNA from 1 species
UGUUUGGUGGAUGGUUAGGCUUUGGAAUAGAUUAAGGACGUGGUAAGCUGCGAUAAGCUUGAGGUAGGCGCAUGCAGCCUUUGAUCUCAAGAUCUCUGAAUGGGAAAUCCUGUCCUUCGGGACAUUCCGAGAGGAAGUUUGACGCGGGGGAUUGAAGCAUCUUAGUACCCGCAGGAAGAGAAAUCAAUUGAGAUGCCGUGAGUAAUGGCGAAUGAAACCGGCAUAGGGCAAACCGAACUUAUUAGCGAUGAGUUAAUAAGGAUGUGGAGUUAUAGGACUUGAGUCUUCCCUAGCUUGUGAAUUUAAAGUCCCCUGGAAAGGGGUACCGUAGAGGGUGAUAGUCCCGUAGAAGAAACAAGAAGGGAAAUGUCAAGUAUCCUGAGUACCGUUCCUUGGAUAUGGAUCGGGAAUUUGGGUAACAUUAAUAUCCAACCCUAAAUAUAACCGAAGUCCGAUAGCGAAUUUAGUACCGUGAGGGAAAACUGAAAAGAAUCCUUAUCGGGAGGUGAGAAGAGCCUGAAACCAGACAGAUAUAGGCAGUUGCGGCACGAAAGUUUAACAGUGUUGCAACAUCCGUUUUGAAAAAUGGGUCAGGGAGUUUGCUUCAGUGGUGAGAUGAAAAUCUUAGCGAAAGCAAUAUGAGCGUAGCUUCGGCGUGGCUCAGGGUGUGAUAAGCGCCUAUAAAUCACUGGGGCAAGACCCGAAGCCAGUCGAUCUAACCCUAAGCAAGUUGAAGUCUGGCGAAAGCUGGAUGGAGGACUGAUACCGAUGCUGAGGACCAAUCGCUCGGGUGACUUGGGGUUAGGGGUGAAAAGCCAAUCGAGACUGGAAAUAGCGGGUUCCUCGAGAAAUGCAUCUUAGUGCAGCCGGAUCGGAGAUAGAUGAGAGGGUAGAGCUACCAAUUGGAUUGUCAAGGGUCGAAAGACUCAGCUUUCCUGUUAAACUCCGAAUCUCUUAUCGUCGUAGAAGAUCCAAAGUGAGGGUGUCCGGGUAAGCCGGGCCUCCAAGGUGGGAACAACCAUGACCAGAGUUAAGGUGUUUAAAUAUCAACUAAAUGUUGAAGGACGUUCAAAACCUCAGACAGUUGGGAGGUAGGCUUAGAAACAGCCAUCCUUUAAAGAGUACGUAACAGUUCACCAACCGAGGUUUUGGGCUUUGAAAAUGGAAGACACUAAGUUGAUUACCGAUACUUUGGACUCCGAAAGGAAUGUGGUAUCGAGGCGUUCUCAAUGGGUAGAAGCAGGGUCGUGAGUUCCUGUGGACCGUUAAGAAAUGAAAAUCCUGAUGCGAGUAGCAGCGUAGUUGGGUUAGAGCCCCAACCGUCUUAAGGGCAAGGUUUUGCCAGCAAUGUUGAUCAUCUGGCAGUUAGUCGAUCCUAACUCAAGCCUUAACUGAACUUGGGGAAAGGGAAAUCGGUUAAUAUUCCGAUACCAUGGAAAUACGCGUGGCAACACAAGUAAAAAAUCAGACACUUUGAGAUAGGUGAACGCAAGUCAGCCAUUGAAAUUUGGGGAGACUCGUCAAGAGGAGAACCAAACGAAGGUGGAAGAGCUUGCCUUAAGGUAAGUUUUACUGAUUCUUAGAGUCAAUGAAAAUGGUUUUUUAAAGAAUUUUUCAUGUUCGUACUCAGAACCGACACAGGUGCCCCUCUCUGAAAAGGAGAAGACGUCCUAGGUUAACUCAGUUUAGGGAAUUCGGCAACAAUGGCCCCGUACCUUUGGUAUAAGGGGUGCCUGCAAUCUUUAACCGGAUUGCAGGUCUCAGUAACAAGGAGGAGGCGACUGUUUAACAAAAACAUAGGGGACUGCCAGGGAGAAAUCCUUUGUAUAGUCCCUGAGGCCUGCCCAGUGCCGGUGUGUCAAAGUUGGCUUCAACCAACCUAAGCCCCGGUAAACGGCGGCGGUAACUCUGACCGUCGUAAAGUAGCGUAAUCUCUUGCCAUUUAAUUGAUGGCCUGCUUGAAUGGCUUAACGAUCUCCUCACUGUCCCAAACUGAGGCCUAGUGAAACUGCAAUUGUGGUGAAUAUACCACAGACCUUCAAUGGGAAGCGAAGACCCCGUAGAGCUUUGCUGUAGUUUGGUGCUGUGCUGUGGAUUUGGUUGCAGAGUGUAGGUAGGAGUUGUUAAUGCUUGACUUUCGGGUCAAGUGGAGACGACCAUGGAACACUACCCUUCCAAAAACGCAGCGCUCACCGCGAUAGCGGGACAAUGCUAGAUGGACAGCUCGGCUGGGGCGGUACUCCGUUGAAAAGUCAUCAACGGAGCCCAAAGGCCAGCUCAUUCCGGACAGAAAUCGGAAGUAGAGUGCAAACGCAAAAGCUGGCUUGACUGGAUUCUACCCAAUAAGGAAUCCAGCCGUGAAAGCGUGGGUUAGCGAUACAUCGUGUGCCUCUUAAUGGGGCCCGGUGGUAUCAGAAAAGCUACCUCGGGGAUAAUGGAGUCGUGGCCUCCGAGAGUCCACAUCGACGAGGCGCAUUGCUUCUCCGCUGUCGGCUCCCCCCCUCCUGGUUGUGCAGCAGCAACCAAGGGUGCAGGUGUCCACUGAUCAAAGGGGGACGUUAGCUGGGUUCAGAACGUCGUGAGACAGUUCGGUCGUUCUCUAUUGAAGGUGCUGUUGGUCUGAGAGGAAGAAAUCACAAGUACGAAAGGAACAUGAUCUCGUAGCCUCUGGUGUACCGGUUGUGAAACGCAGUGCCGGGUAGCUACGCUAUAACGGAUAACCGCUGAAAGCAUCUAAGCGGGAAGCCGGCCUCAAAACUAGACC